UAAGUUCUACCACACCGAGUUUUGGAAUGACUGCUUGCUGAUCGAGCGUUCGGACUAUGAGGGAGAAUGAUGAUAGAAGCCAAGAACUUUUCUUUUUGUAAUGAAUUGUUAGACUGGAUUAUGGCUUUGUUUCUUCAGUUUCGUGUACUGUUCGUAAUUUUAGAUAAUAGAAUCUUGAAUAUGCCCAAUCCUACUUGUUUAACUAUCAUAUAUCAUGGAGUUUUGCUGAAACCAUUGCUAUUUCUUCUUUUCUCGUGAUUUGAUGUCUGUCUACACUAAGAGCUAGGCAUGCUUGUUCCUUGUUCUACCAUCUCUUAUAACCUCUGCACGUUAAGUCUAGUAAUGGCCUUUUCUAUACGAAUAUUGAAUUUUGAAAGGCUUGAAUUCCUCAAUUUGCAGCAUUCUGUUUGUUAACUAAAAAGUUAUUUUCUGUUAUUUUAUCUUUUGUAUGAUUGUCUAUCAAUGGCACACUAUGAAGGCUUGAAAUUGCGGGAAAAGAUGAGAUCAUUUCAAGCCAGAUGCUGCGAACUGCAAAUGUGAACCUUGCUAGAACCUCAAUAACUUCAGACUUCGCUUGAAAUUUCAACCCAAAUGAGGUUGAUUCGCGGUCUUUAUACGCGGUAUCACAAAAAAACAACGCGAAUUCUCCGGGAGGGAAGUGGAACACUGUGUCCCACUUGCGUGUAAGUCAUGACCAGUUGAAAUCAAUGUAAUCCAUUGUUAUAACAGUAUAUAGAUUAGUACCUGAGUUGGCUGUUGAGUAAAACCCAGUGAGGAUCUGAAUAUCACGAACCCGGAGGCUAUUCGGAUAAGUAGAUGUCUUUUUUACAGGGUCAACCGAAUCCGUCAAGGUUUACCAGCUAUCAUGUGGGCAACGCCGACGGCCCAUUUCCCUAAUCUUUUCUUGAUUUCUUCGGGCUAUUUACAGGGUAGGCUCAGCCCAACUAUGAAUUCUGUUUAAUGGGCGUUUUUUCUUGUUAAAGCCCACUACCGUUUGGCGCCUCCACGAGGAAGCUUCUGAAAACCCUAGAGAAAACCUGAAACCAAAAACCUCAAGCUCUCCAUCCAUCCACCCGAAACAAUCAUCAUCACCGUCGAUUACCAUCAGGCGAACUACCACCGGAGCAAU
rnacentral:lncRNA from 1 species